AUUGAACGCUGGCGGCAUGCCUAACACAUGCAAGUCGAGCGGAUGAAGGGAGCUUGCUCCUGGAUUCAGCGGCGGACGGGUGAGUAAUGCCUAGGAAUCUGCCUGGUAGUGGGGGAUAACGUCCGGAAACGGGCGCUAAUACCGCAUACGUCCUGAGGGAGAAAGUGGGGGAUCUUCGGACCUCACGCUAUCAGAUGAGCCUAGGUCGGAUUAGCUAGUUGGUGGGGUAAAGGCCUACCAAGGCGACGAUCCGUAACUGGUCUGAGAGGAUGAUCAGUCACACUGGAACUGAGACACGGUCCAGACUCCUACGGGAGGCAGCAGUGGGGAAUAUUGGACAAUGGGCGAAAGCCUGAUCCAGCCAUGCCGCGUGUGUGAAGAAGGUCUUCGGAUUGUAAAGCACUUUAAGUUGGGAGGAAGGGCAGUAAGUUAAUACCUUGCUGUUUUGACGUUACCAACAGAAUAAGCACCGGCUAACUUCGCG
rnacentral:rRNA from 1 species